CCCUUAGAUGUUCUGGGCCGCACACGCGCUACACUGAAGGAGGCAGCGUGUACUCCUGGAUCGAAAGAUUUGGGUAACCCGCGAAUCUCCUUCGUGCUAGGGAUUGAGGUUUGCAAUUAUCCUUCAUGAACGAGGAAUUCCCAGUAAGUGCAAGUCAUAAGCUUGCGCUGACUACGUCCCUGCCCUUUGUACACACCGCCCGUCGCUACUACCGAUUGAAUGAUUUAGUGAGGACUUCGGACUGGGACCGAUGCGGCUUUCGGGCUGCGUCGGUAUUCUGGAAAGAUGCCCAAACUGUAUCAUUUAGAGGAAGUAAAANUCGUAACA
rnacentral:rRNA from 1 species